rnacentral:rRNA from 1 species
UCCUACGGGGGCAGCAGUGGGGAAUAUUGCACAAUGGGGGAAACCCUGAUGCAGCAACGCCGCGUGAGUGAAGAAGUAUUUCGGUAUGUAAAGCUCUAUCAGCAGGGAAGAAGAAAGACGGUACCUGACUAAGAAGCCCCGGCUAACUACGUGCCAGCAGCCGCGGUAAUACGUAGGGGGCAAGCGUUAUCCGGAUUUACUGGGUGUAAAGGGAGCGUAGACGGCAUAGCAAGUCUGAAUUGAAAGCCCGUGUCUCAACCGCGGCACUGCUUUGUAACCUGUUAAUCUGGAGUACUGGUGAGGCA